rnacentral:sRNA from 2 species
UCGCGUCAAGCGCCGAAGGCAGGAGCGGGGGAACCAAGGUAGGCGCCGGGACCGGCCGUUGAGAGACGGACGGGAACGGCUAGGGGUUAAGUCGUGCGCCACGACGCACGGCCGGGCACUCAUCCGCCCGAACCCGACAGCUCACCUCGCAGGCGUCGGUGAGGAGAACU